AAAACUUUCAACAACGGAUCUCUUGGCUCUGGCAUCGAUGAAGAACGCAGCGAAAUGCGAUAAGUAAUGUGAAUUGCAGAAUUCAGUGAAUCAUCGAAUCUUUGAACACACAUUGCGCCCGCCAGUAUUCUGGCGGGCAUGCCUGUUCGAGCGUCAUUACAACCCUCAGGCCCCCGGGCCUGGCGUUGGGGAUCGGCGGAAGCCCCCUGCGGGCACAACGCCGUCCCCCAAAUACAGUGGCGGUCCCGCCGCAGCUUCCAUUGCGUAGUAGCUAACACCUCGCAACUGGAGAGCGGCGCGGCCACGCCGUAAAACACCCAACUUCUGAAUGUUGACCUCGAAUCAGGUAGGAAUACCCGCUGAACUUAAGCAUAUCAAUAAGCGGAGGAAAAGAAACCAACAGGGAUUGCCCCAGUAACGGCGAGUGAAGCGGCAACAGCUCAAAUUUGAAAUCUGGCUCUCGGGCCCGAGUUGUAAUUUGUAGAGGAUGCUUUUGGUGAGGUGCCUUCCGAGUUCCCUGGAACGGGACGCCAUAGAGGGUGAGAGCCCCGUCUGGUUGGACACCGAUCCUCUGUAAAGCUCCUUCGACGAGUCGAGUAGUUUGGGAAUGCUGCUCUAAAUGGGAGGUAUAUGUCUUCUAAAGCUAAAUACCGGCCAGAGACCGAUAGCGCACAAGUAGAGUGAUCGAAAGAUGAAAAGAACUUUGAAAAGAGAGUUAAAAAGUACGUGAAAUUGUUGAAAGGGAAGCGCUUGUGACCAGACUUGGGCUUGGUUGAUCAUCCGGGGUUCUCCCCGGUGCACUCUUCCGGCUCAGGCCAGCAUCAGUUCGCCCUGGGGGAUAAAGGCUUCGGGAAUGUGGCUCUCUCCGGGGAGUGUUAUAGCCCAUCGCGUAAUACCCUGAGCUGGACUGAGGUACGCGCUCCGCAAGGAUGCUGGCGUAAUGGUCAUCAGUGACCCGUCUUGAAACACGGACC
rnacentral:rRNA from 1 species